GCCUACAAUAUGUAGCUUCUUAGUUGGUAGAGCAUGAGAUUUUUAAUCUCAGGGUUGUGGGUUCGAGCCCCACAUUGGGCA